rnacentral:rRNA from 1 species
UACGUAGGGUGCGAGCGUUUGUCCGGAUUUAUUGGGCGUAAAGGGCUCGUAGGCGGCGUGUCGCGUCGGGAGUGAAAGACCGGGGCUUAACCCCGGUUCUGCUUCCGGUACGGGCAUGCUGGAGUGUGGCAGGGGAGACUGGAAGUUCCUGGUGUAGCGGUGGAAUGCGCAGAGUAUCAGGAGGAACACCGGUGGCGAAGGCGGGUCUCUGGGCCAUUACUGACGCUGAGGAGCGAAAGCGUGGGGAGCGAACAGG